CAAGAAAAGGAUAUAUAGCGGCUCUGAGAGUUCUUCAGCCAGUUCUGUUAUUACUCUUGGAUGCAGUUCAUCCAGCCCUGGAGAUCUGAAGUUGUUCUAAUUAAUAAGGUAUUCCUUCACUAUUUGCUUAUCAUUCUCAAGUGGCAAUCCUAUCUUCUCCCUUUGUACUUCACAUUUGCCUGGAGGGUGACUGACUUUUUUGUUGGCAAAAGGGCAAGCUGUACUCUGGUAUCUUAAAAUGUAAAAUUUAAAAACCGCUCUAAGAUCCUAUUUUCACUAAAUACAAUAUUUUUAUUUGUAGACUGCCUUAGGAAUGCAGAAUGAUCAUUAAUGAUGGCGAGUGUCAAUAUCAGAAAUAUAUACAAUAUGAAUUGAUAUUGCAAUGCAUGAUUUAACAUUUAACCUUAAGAAGUAGAUACAUAUGCUGGAGGUAACAGUGGAUAACCAGUCACUUCUUUUUCAGAGUCAUAAAAAAUGGUUUAAUUAAACACUCAUUAUGCACUGUAUUAACAAGUUCUCACACUACUCAAAAACAUGACAUAUAAAACUGAUAAAGUUGAAGUAUCAAGGAAACAGCAGAUGCUCUUUUUCUCCCUGAUCCAGGUGCUACAUAAUUUGCUGGAUUAGAAAUCAGGAAUAUAAGUAAGAUGCACAUUUAAAUACAUGUACAUAUAGCCUCAGUUUUAAAGGGUGUUCCCAUUUUUGUUCAGGAAGUUAGGACAUGGAAUUAUGUAUGACCACAAACUGGAUUGGGCUGUACUCAGAAUAGAACUGAUGGGUAAUAACAAUCACAUAUUUUACGCCACCAACUUCUUCUCUGUCAGUGCAGCCCACUGUAUCUCUGUCAGUUUAUUUCUGGGUCUGUUUUGGAAAAUUCCAUGGUCCUGUUUCAGUUUGCGAUGGAAGAACACAAACAAAUUCUUCUUUUUCUUUGUCAGUUCUUGCUGUGAGUUUUAUAUAUGGAUCUUACCUGCUAUUUUUCUGUGUAAGAAGCAGCUUAUUCUACUGUAAUUAAAGUUAAUGAUAGUGAUGGAGGAGGCAGAAAAUGAAAGAGCUUUGUUAUCCCCACAAAAACAUUAUUUAACGUAACAUUGCACACAAAAGAUACAUCCAGGACUGCACAUAUUCUGUGUUUGAAAAAUCCACAUUCUGUGCCAUGAUAACUCAGUCUUUCUCCUUUAAGCUAAGCUGGUACCUUUGGCUUGUAUAAAUUAUGCAAACUUGACUAGACAUGCCUAUUUUGCAUAAUUUAUUCUGCUCCUGCCAGUCAUGAACUGAAGCAAAAAGCUACUUGGGAGGGACACUGAAACCCUGCCUCUCCUAACUACGGUCAGUCUUUCUUUGUAUCUCUGCUCUGGCACUCAUUUUGCAAUUUCAUCAGGCAUUGCCAGCCAAUUGAUUUUCAAAUUACAUACUGAUUUCUGCACUUCUACAAUAACAUGGUACAUACAGGAUACAUACAAUCCAAAGUAGGUACCUUAUUAUUUAACAGCUUCUAUAUGUAAAAUUAAUGCCACAUUUUUCCUUCUAUGAGGUCCUAAAGCAUGGCAUGUUACGUUCAGUUCUUCAGUCAUUUGACAAUGUCUAUGUAAUAAACAAUUUCAAUAAUAAUAAUGAGGGACUCA
ensembl:lncRNA